AAAAAUGUUGGAUAUAUAUUAAUAUAUUUUUUCAAUGAUUGUAAAGUAGACGACUUAUGUUUUUAAACUAUUAGUUCUUGUGCAUCAGCGUAAUGGGUCCUACUUUUUUAAAAAAAAU
rnacentral:miRNA from 1 species